GAUAAUUCCUACAAAUACUGGGUGAUGUAGUGGAUGGCUGGAAAAAAGAGGGGGUUUCUCUCAUAACAGCCUCUGCUAAUUGAAAAGCGUCCUAAGCGCCCUCACUUCACUCCCCAGCUAACCAAGACCCUCACGUCACCGUGCACGUCCCACGCUGCACCUGGAGGAAGGUGGUGCGCGACUGCCUUCUGGAGGCGGAUAUGAUCAUAAGAACUAGGAGGCCAGAAACAAUUCCAUGACUCCCCUGCCUCCUCCAACCAGCUGCUUGGCACUAUGGUAGUGCUCCUAUCUUUGAAUUCGACGACCUUCCACACCUGUGCCAUCUGUCAAUGAGAAGACAAGGAAUUAGGAUUGGUGAAGAAGAGGGAUGGCAACAUAAUGGUCUUGGUCUGGAAAAAGCACACAUUUUCUGCUGACAUCCCCAAGGAGCUCAACCUCAAGAUCAUCUACCAACGUAUGGACCUGAAAACAGCCUAUUCGAGGAGGGGCAGGGAUAUGUGAAAUGGGAUUCCUUGUACCCAAAUCGUCUGUAGAUGAUGAAGACUGAC
ensembl:lncRNA